GCUGGGUGUGGUGGCAUGCACCUGUAGUCCAGCUACUUGGGAGGCUGAGGCAGGAGGAUCACUUGAGCCCAGGAGUUAGAGGCUACAGUGAGCUAUGAUCAUGCCACUGCAUUCCAUCCUGGGUGACAGAGUGAGACCCUAUCUCUU
ensembl:misc_RNA Metazoa_SRP Metazoan signal recognition particle RNA